ensembl:lncRNA
AGGUGCAUGGAUACUGAACUAGUAGAACAGGUGCAUGGAUACUGAACUAGAAGAACAGGUGCAUGGAUACUGAACUAGUAGAACAGGUGCAUGGAUACUGAACUAGUAGAACAGGUGCAUGGAUACUGAACUAGAUGAACAGGUGCAUGGAUACUGAACUAGAAUAGGGUAGUACUGAACGCAGGGUUAUACCCCAACGCAGGUGGGCAUUUUAGUAGAGUACUCUAAAGUAAGAAACAGACACCCUGUCAUCGCGAAGACAAAACGACCCUGUAGACAACUGUCUUCCUGUCAGCGCUCUCUCUCUAUCUCUUUCCCCCUCUCUCCCUCUUUGUGGUUUGUGUCUGUGGAACUCAGUAUGUAGUUCAGUGGUUUCUACAGAAG